UUGGGUACAGGGUAGGCUUGAAAGAAAACGAUAUUAACGGGAGUGUGGUUGGAAAAUGUUUUGGACAAGAAAUUUUCAAAUUCGGGAAAAUAACACUUUUCAAGCUAGCUUUUUUUUUUUUAACUUGCAAAAAUUUGAAACUCCCUUUUUGUAACUUCACUUUUGUAUGCAACAGUCUUGUUUUCUUUUUUUUUUACUCAGAGUUUUUUAAAUCGAAUUUUUAUUAUAAUCUUCA
rnacentral:lncRNA from 1 species